UCCAGACUCCUACGGGAGGCAGCAGUGAGGAAUAUUGGUCAAUGGGCGCGAGCCUGAACCAGCCAAGUCGCGUGAGGGAUGACGGCCCUACGGGUUGUAAACCUCUUUUGCCGGGGAGCAACGGGCGCCACGUGUGGCGCCACUGAGAGUACCCGGAGAAAAAGCAUCGGCUAACUCCGUGCCAGCAGCCGCGGUAAUACGGAGGAUGCGAGCGUUAUCCGGAUUUAUUGGGUUUAAAGGGCGUGUAGGCGGGAACGCAAGUCAGAUGUGAAAACCAUGGGCUCAACCUGUGGCCUGCAUUUGAAACUGUUUUUCUUGAGUACUGGAGAGGCAGACGGAAUUCCUAGUGUAGCGGUGAAAUGCGUAGAUAUACGGCGGAACACCAGUGGCGAAGGCGGCCUGCUGGACCGAAACUGACGUUGAGGCUCGAAAGCGUGGGGAGCAAACAGGAUUAGAUACCCCAGUAC
rnacentral:rRNA from 1 species